rnacentral:sRNA from 1 species
ACUGGACAUGGUGGUGCAUGCCUGUAAUCCCUGUGGCUCUGGAGGUUGAGACAGGAGGAUCACGAUUUAAAAGCAACUCAUUAGACCCUGUCUCUA